rnacentral:rRNA from 1 species
GUCACUGACGAGUUUGAUCCUGGCUCAGGAUGAACGCUGACAGAAUGCUUAACACAUGCAAGUCGACUGGAAUUCUUCUUCGGAAGAUAGUACGGUGGCGGACGGGUGAGUAACGCGUAAAGAAUUUGCCCUUCAGACUGGGACAACUAAUCGAAAGGUUAGCUAAUACCGGAUAUUAUGAGACCUUGGCAUCAAGGACUUAUGAAAGCUAUAUGCGCUGGAGGAGAACUUUGCGUCCCAUUAGGUAGUUGGUAGGGUAAUGGCCUACCAAGCCGACGAUGGGUAGCCGGCCUGAGAGGGUGAACGGCCACAAGGGGACUGAGACACGGCCCUUACUCCUACGGGAGGCAGCAGUGGGGAAUAUUGGACAAUGGACCAAAAGUCUGAUCCAGCAAUUCUGUGUGCACGAUGAAGGUCUUCGGAUUGUAAAGUGCUUUCAGGUGGGAAGAAGAAAGUGACGGUACCACCAGAAGAAGCGACGGCUAAAUACGUG